rnacentral:RNase_P_RNA from 1 species
UUGGAAGGGCGGAGGGUCGCUCGCGGCGGCAGUCGCGGGAGGAAAGUCCGAACUCCAUAGGGCGCGGGGCCGCGUAACUCCGGUCAGGCCGGAGAUACACGCGGGAGGUCACGACGUAAGGCGUGGCCGACAGACAGUGCCACAGAGAAAAUACCGCCCGCGCCGCAAGGUGCGGGCAAGGGUGAAAAGGCGGUUUAAGAGACCACCGCUCGCGACGCAAGAAGCGGGGCAUGGUAAACCUCCCCGGGAGCAAGACCAAAUAGGGAACCUGCGAUGCGGCCCGCAUCGUAUCGGCGCAAGUCGAUCGGGUUCCGGGUAUCGGUCGCUCAGAGAAAUGACUCUCUCCCUGGCGCAAGUCAGGAAGACAGAAUUCGGCUUACAGCCCUUCCAAGACA